AUUGCCAAACCUGCUGAAAGGCAGGGACGGAAAGCUAAGCGUCUAAGCAAGAAAUGAUGUAUGAUAGGCUGGCUGC
rnacentral:ncRNA from 1 species